GUUCCCAUUUCCCACACCAAUUUCGGGAUGUCCCACCCCAAUUUCGGGGGGGGUUCCCACCCCAAUUCCCGUGUCCCCAUCCCAAUUUCAGGGUGUGUCCCCCCCCCCAAUUCUCUGUCCCCAUUUUCAGAGUCCUGUCCCAAUUUCGGGGUGUCUCAUCCUUACAGAAUCCCACCCCAAUUUCGGUGUUUCCCAUCCCAAUUUCGGGGUGUCCCCCCGUAUUUCAGAGUCCCGUCCCAACGGCGAGGCGGGCCGGGCGGCGCUGGCGCAGGAGGAUUGUCCCCCCAUUUCCCACCCCAAUUUCGGGGUGUCCCAUCCUUACAGAAUCCCACCCCAAUUUCGGGGUGUCCCCCCGUGUUUCAGAGUCCCGUCCCAACGGCGAGGCGGGCCGCGCGGCGCUGGCGCAGGAGGAUUGUCCCCCCAUCGAUCACGACCAGCCGCUGUCCCCCGACGAGCGGGGCCUGGGGCCCCCCCAAAACGCCCCCGGUGCUGGGGGGGGUCCCGGGGGGGGCCGCGAGCGCUGCGGGCGGGACCGAGCGUGCUUCCUGCUGGGGCCGGACUAUGCCCCGCCCCCCGAGGGACCCCUGCGCAAAGCGCUCGUCACCGCCUGAGACCCCCGACGUUGCCGCAGGCUACGAGAAGUCGCGGAGCCUCAACAGCAUCACGGGGGUGCGGGUGGCCCCCGCCGCCCCCCCCUUCAGCUCCCCCAGCCCCCCCCGGCGCCCCCGCUCCCCCAUCCCCUCCAUCCUCUGAGGGGGGGGGGGGCGGGGCAGCCCCUCCCCCCACCCCCACCCCCUUUUCCUGCUCCCCUUCCCCCCCACCCCAAAAAACAGGAAAUGGGGAAAAAGAAAAACUCAUCAGUGGCAAUGGGGGGAGGGGGCACCCCGAAAUGGGGGGGGGUGAUUUUGGGGACACCCCACCCCCCCCCCCUCAAAACAGAGGGGUGUCCCCCAUAGAGACUGUGAAAGGGGGUGACGAGGGGACCCCCCCGCCCCGGUGUCACCCCAAAGGCUGCACUGCACUUUCUGGACUGGGUGUCCCCCCCCAGAUUUGGGGUCCCUCCAAGCCCACCCCGGUUUUGGGGGGGUUUGGGUGUCCUUGUUGUUCCCCCCCACCCCCUGUGUAUUGUCCAUCCCCCCUUUCCAUGAUCACUCAGGACUUGGGGAGCCCCCCCCUAAAUUUGUGUCACCUCACCUCGUGUGUCCCCUCUGUGUGUCCCUGAUGUCUGUCUGUCCCCCUUGCCAUGUGUGUCCCCCCUUCUGGGCUCCCCACACCCCCCCAAGCAAUAACUGGAGCCGCCGGACGCGCCGAUGGCGGAGGACGACGGCGGCGGAGGUAGGGCCCUGCCCAGGUGUCCCCCCUGUCCCCCUGUGGUGGCAGCGUCACCCCAAGAUGGGGGGAGAAGGGGGGAAACCGGGCCCACUAGGAGUUCAGGCUGCGUUUCCAUGGUAAUGGGACUAGGCCUGAGCUCUACUGUGAGGCCAGGCUGCGUUUCCAUGGUAAUGGGACUAGGCCUGGCUCCUCACUGCAAUGGCAGGCUGUGUUUCCAUGGUAACGGGACUAGGCCUGAGCUCUGCUGUGAAUCCAGGCUGCGUUUCCAUAGGAACAGGACUAGGCCUGAGCUCUGUUGUUAGUCCAGGCUUUGUUUCCAUGGUAACAGGACUAGGCCUGAGCUCUGCUGUGAAUUCAGGCUGUGUUUCCAUGGUAAUGG